AGCUGCCUGUCGCUAGGAGCCCCGAGAGAGCAAGGCCUACACCGCCCGGCCGGAGCCCCGGCCUCGAUUGCACCACUUUCCCCCACCCCAGCGGGGAGACCCUGGAGGUCGCUAGAGCCCUCGCCACUCUCGGAACCAUAAUAAAAACAAGACGCUGAAGAGGCUACCACUGCGUGCUGGGAGAUGGGAUUGGGCCCUGAGAGAGCCAGGGGGAGGGGACGCCUCUCUGCUACCCGUCACCACCCGCCCGACCCCGCUGGCCCCACGGUGUCCGGCUCUGUCACCGCCGGCCUCCGGCUCCGAGGCCCCUUUUCUCCAUGACACCGAGGACUGGGGCUCGAGCUUCGCCUGGCCUUUGGCGAGCCUUGGUCUCCCCCCCCCCCCCGGCCAGCCCUCCCCCCAGUGCCCCCCGCACCUUUUAAACUACGCAGAGGAAGAGUUUGCCAACCAACUUAGUCAAACCGUAACCUCGUCCCCCUCCCCGACCCACACUGGUGGGGCAGGCAUCUGGAGGGACCACUUUGCACUUGGGAUAAAGCACAUUAAAGACCUGUCAACCA